rnacentral:rRNA from 1 species
UAAACGAUAAACCACGAAUAUCUUACCUGUUUUCUGUUUGUAUACCGUCAUUAUCAGAUAACCUUUAAAAAGUUAGUUAUUGAAAAUAAAAAAUUAAAAAAAUUAGAUCAAGGUGCAGUUUGAACAGGAGAAAAUGGGUUACAAUAAGAAAUAAUUUAUAUGGAUUUAUUUUUGAAAUAAAAUAUUGAAAGUGGAUUUAAUUGUAAU